GAUGAACGCUGGCGGCGUGCCUAAUACAUGCAAGUCGAGCGAACAGACGAGGAGCUUGCUCCUCUGACGUUAGCGGCGGACGGGUGAGUAACACGUGGAUAACCUACCUAUAAGACUGGGAUAACUUCGGGAAACCGGAGCUAAUACCGGAUAAUAUAUUGAACCGCAUGGUUCAAUAGUGAAAGACGGUUUUGCUGUCACUUAUAGAUGGAUCCGCGCCGCAUUAGCUAGUUGGUAAGGUAACGGCUUACCAAGGCAACGAUGCGUAGCCGACCUGAGAGGGUGAUCGGCCACACUGGAACUGAGACACGGUCCAGACUCCUACGGGAGGCAGCAGUAGGGAAUCUUCCGCAAUGGGCGAAAGCCUGACGGAGCAACGCCGCGUGAGUGAUGAAGGGCUUCGGAUCGUAAAACUCUGUUAUUAGGGAAGAACAAAUGUGUAAGUAACUAUGCACGUCUUGACGGUACCUAAUCAGAAAGCACGGCUAACUACGUG
rnacentral:rRNA from 1 species